UGUGGAUAAGAUCACCGGGCAGCCAUGGAAGAACUUACGGCUUUUGUAUCCAAAUCUUUUGACCAGAAAAGCAAAGAGAGCAGCAGCGGCAGUGGCAGCAGCAACAAGAAGGAGACGAUCACGUACAGGGAAGUUUUGGAGAGUGGGUUGGCUCGCUCUAGGGAGCUUGGAAACUCUGACUCUAACCUGCAGGACAUGACUGAGAGCAGCAACCAUUGCCCGGUGCAUCUUUUCAAAGACCACGUAGAAAGCGACAAGGACAAACUGAAGGAGUUCAGCACGGGCAGAACGGCGGAAGGUAAGAGCGGGGCUGGGCGCCCUCUGCCCCAUGCUUGUUGCCGGCAGCCCCAGUCCCCUGUCCCCGGUCUCCGCAACGGGGGAGAGCCGAUCACGGCGGCCCCG